AGCAGUUUUCGGGUGAUGCACCCUGGAAUCGGGCUCCCUCCUCUCUGGUUCUGGGUGCAUCAUCCUAGAACCACA
rfam:Myotis davidii contig13096, whole genome shotgun sequence.